rnacentral:rRNA from 1 species
AAGGGAGAGGAAUAAGUAGAAAUCUACCCUCGGAUCGGGGAUAGCGGCGGGAAACUGCCGGUAAUACCCGAUAACGUCUUUGGACCAAAGGUGUGAUUCCGUCUGAGGAUGAGUCUACUUCCUAUUCGCUAGUUGGCGGGGUAAUGGCCCACCAAGGCAACGAUGGGUAGCAGGUGUGAGAGCAUGGCCUGCCUCAUUGGGACUGAGACACUGCCCAGACACCUACGGGUGGCUGCAGUCGAGAAUCUUCGGCAAUGGACGAAAGUCUGACCGAGCGACGCCGCGUGCGGGAUGAAGGCCUUCGGGUUGUAAACCGCUGUCGGAGGGGAACAAAUGUACGGGGGUUCUCCCCUGUAUUUGAGUGAACCUAGGAGGAAGGAGAGGCUAAGCUCGUGCCAGCAGCCGCGGUAAGACGAGCUCUCCGAACGUUAUUCGGUAUCACUGGGCUUAAAGAGUUCGUAGGCGGUCUGGUAGGUGAGGUGUGAAAUCCCCCGGCUCAACCGGGGAACUGCGCUUCAAACCGCCGGACUUGAGGGAGACAGAGGUGGGCGGAACAGAUGGUGGAGCGGUGAAAUGCGUUGA